UAGACUUGACAUCCCGAGCGAAGCUAUAGAGAUAUAGUGGAGGUUAUCUCGGUGACAGGUGGUGCAUGGUUGUCGUCAGCUCGUGUCGUGAGAUGUUGGGUUAAGUCCCGCAACGAGCGCAACCCCUAUCAUUAGUUGCUAACAUUUAGUUGAGGACUUUAAUGAGACUGCUUACGCAAGUAAGAGGAAGGUGGGGACGACGUCAAAUCAUCAUGCCCCUUAUGUCUAGGGCUACACACGUGAUACAAUGGCUGGUACAAAGGGUUGCGAACUCGCGAGAGUAAGCCAAUCCCAUAAAGCCAGUCUAAGUUCGGAUUGGAGUCUGCAACUCGACUCCAUGAAGUUGGAAUCACUAGUAAUCGUGGAUCAGAAUGCCACGGUGAAUACGUUCUCGGUUCU
rnacentral:rRNA from 1 species